GUCUAUGGCCACACCUCCCUGGACCGCCCCAUCUUGUCUCGUCUCCAGAGCUAAGCAGGGUCAGGCCUGGUUAGUACUCGGAUGGGAGGCUGUCUGGGCAGACCGGGGGCUGUAGGCU
rnacentral:rRNA from 1 species